ACUCAAAGGAAUAGACGGGGGCCCGCACAAGCAGUGGAGCAUGUGGUUUAAUUCGAUGCAACGCGAAGAACCUUACCCAGGUUAGAAGUGCAGAGCGAGUUAUCAGAGAUGAUAACGCCCGCAAGGGGCUUUGUAUAGGUGCUGCAUGGCUGUCGUCAGCUCGUGCCGUGAGGUGUUGGGUUAAGUCCCGCAACGAGCGCAACCCUUAUCAUUAGUUGCCAACAUUUAAGGUGGGGACUCUAAUGAGACUGCCUAGGUUAACUAGGAGGAAGGUGAGGAUGAUGUCAAGUCCGCAUGGCCUUUAUGUCUGGGGCUACACACGUGCUACAAUGGUCGAUACAGAAGGCAGCGAAACCGCGAGGUGGAGCAAAUCCAAAAAGUCGAUCUCAGUUCAGAUUGUAGUCUGCAACUCGGCUACAUGAAGUCGGAAUUGCUAGUAAUGGCGUGUCAGCAACAGCGCCGUGAAUACGUUCCCGGGCCUUGUACACACCGCCCGU
rnacentral:rRNA from 1 species